AUACUUACCUGGCAGGGGGGUCCUGUGAUCACGAAGGUGGUUUUCCCAGGGCCAGGCUUGUCCAUUGCGCUCCCGGUACGCUGACCCCUGCGAUUUCCCCCAGAUCUGAGAAACUCGAAUGCGUAGUUCGUUGCAGUGGGGGACUCCAUUUGUGGUCUCCCCUG